CUUUUUUGGCUACUCUAAUGUUAGCUUUAAGCUAUGUUUUUUUGCUACACUAAUGUUAGCAUGUUAGCUAUCCUUUUUUUUGCUACACUAAUUUUAGCUUGUUAGCUUCAUAUUUUUGCUACACCACUGUUAGCUUUUUAACUGUGUUUUUAGCUAAACUAAUGUUAGCUUGUUAGCUUUUUUUGAUUGGUUUCUUUUUUUUGCUACUCUAAUGCUAGCUUUAAGCUAUGUUUUUUUGCUACACUAAUGUUAACAUGUUAGCUAUGCUUUUUUUGCUACACUAAUUUUAGCUUGUUAGCUUCAUAUUUUUGCUACACCACUGUUAGCUUUUUAACUGUGUUUUUAGCUGAACUAAUGUUAGCUUGUUAGCUCAGUUUUUUGCUACAUUUUAUUAGCUUUGUAUCUACUUUUUAGCCAUACCAUUUUUAGCUUGUUGCUAUGAUUUUUGCUACACUAAGCUUGUUAGCUAUGUUUUUUUUCACUGUUAGCUUGUUAGCUACGUUUUCUUUGCUACACUACAGUUAGCUAGUUAGCUAUGUUUUUUUGCUACAUUAAUGUUAACUUGUUAGCUUCUUUUUGCUACAAAAAUAUUGGUAUAAAUAUCAUAUUGAUGUAGUGACUAGUGAAGAAGGAAUUCGGACAUAGCCAAGGGUUGAUGGAAAAUAAGUGGAAGCUAACUGCCGUCCCAGCAAACCCCCCACAACUCAGAGAAACUGACUCAGAUGGCCUUUUGGAUUGGAGGGCCCUGGGAAAGGGAGUCAGCUGACAACGCAGGGAGGUCUGGGUGUUUUUGUGGGCUUUGGGUUGGCAAGACGCCCACUGCACAUCCAGCGAGUGACCACAGCGCAAACAAUCUACUUCUGUGGACUGGUCGAGAGGAACCUGAGAGACCAGGGAGGAAGAACACUGCUUUUUUCAAUAGAUGCAAUAAAAAGGUGAAAAAAA